UUGAUCCUGCCAGUAGUCAUAUGCUUGUCUCAAAGAUUAAGCCAUGCAUGUCUAAGUAUAAACACUUUUAUACACGUGAAACUGCGAAUGGCUCAUUAAAACAGUUAUAGUUCCUUUGAGAACCACACUACUUGGAUAACCGUAGUAAUUCUAGAGCUAAUACAUGCCGCAACGCCCGACUCACGAAGGGUGGUAUUUAUUGGAUAAAAAACCAUCGUGCUCCUUCCAGAGCGCUUUGAGAUGAUUCACAAUAACUUGUCGGAUCGCAUGGCCUUGUGCUGGCGACUGCUCAUUCAAAUUUCUGCCCUAUCAACUUUCGAUGGUAGAGUAUUGGUCUACCAUGGUGUCGACGGGUAACGGGGAAUUAGGGUUCGAUUCCGGAGAGGGAGCCUGAGAAACGGCUACCACAUCCAAGGAAGGCAGCAGGCGCGCAAAUUACCCAAUCCCGACUCGGGGAGGUAGUGACAAAAAAUAACAAUAGGGGGCCCUUUGGGCCUUCUAAUUGGAAUGAGAACAAUUUAAAUCCCUUAUCGAGGAUCCAUUGGAGGGCAAGUCUGGUGCCAGCAGCCGCGGUAAUUCCAGCUCCAAUAGCGUAUAUUAAAGUUGUUGCAGUUAAAACGCUCGUAGUCGGACCUCGGAGCGCCCUCACGGGCCGGGCUUCUGCCCUUGUGCCAGUGGGAGUUUGUCUCCUUUUGUCGGGACGCGGUGUGUGGGGCCUUGACUGGUUCCGCGCGUUUAUACCUGCGGGCCGACCGUUUACUGUGAAGAAAGUAAAGUGUUCAAAGCAGGCCAAUGCCUUGAAUAUGUGAGCAUGGAAUAAUAGAAUAGGACUUGGGCUCUAUUUUGUUGGUUUCCAGUGACCAAGUAAUGAUUAAUAGGGAUGGUUGGGGGCAUUCGUAUUUCAUUGUCAGAGGUGAAAUUCUUGGAUUGAUGGAAGACGUACAACUGCGAAAGCAUCUGCCAUGGAUGUUUUCAUUGAUCAAGAACGAAAGUUAGGGGAUCGAAGACGAUCAGAUACCGCGUCUAUGCCUGCCACAACCGCCCCCAUCAUAGCCACCGUUGCCCUCGUUACCGCAUUCACCCCGUGUGCGUGAGAGGGCGUCUCUGUGGGGGGACAGAACAGUCAGUGGCAUACCGUGUGCGGGUGCUUGGUGUUCUGUGUGACGUCGUCGAGACGUGCGGCCUGCUUCCCCCCCCUCUCGUAGCUUUGCUUUGUUAUACCCCGUGUGCGCCUAUUUUCCUCCAUCCCCAACGUCCUCUUGGCGUCGUUGGCGAUCUCUUCCUGCUGCGUCGGUGACCGUUGACGCGCUUGGCCUUCCGGGGCUGUGGAAUUGAGCCCCAUUGAGUUGAUGGAGCCUGGCCGCGAACGGUUCUCCCCACGGGCCGUGUGGCGUGGCGUUGGUGAGCUGCCUGCACCGGCCAUGGGGCCCGCCCCUGCUGCCACGGUGGGAGCCGCCAAGGGCCCGCUGCGGCCGGCGCCGCCACCGCGGCGGUUGCCGUCUGCGAUGGAGCUGCUUUGCCGUGCUGCGGCGGCCGCGGCGGGUGAGUCCACGCCCGAGCCGACACCGGCGCCGGGCUCAGUGCUUCCACCCAUCUCGGCACGGCUGCCAUCGCCGACGUCCACGUCGGUGGCGCCGCUGCCGCCGCCGCCAACGCUCGUGCCGCCCCCGCCUAUGACACUGCAUCGGCCAGCGGCGGCCAAAGCGGCUGUCAAGGACAAGAGUGA
rnacentral:rRNA from 1 species